GACGAACGCUGGCGGCGUGCUUCACACAUGCAAGUCGAACGGAGUGGCGAACGGGUGAGUAACACGUGGGUGACCUGCCCUGCACUUCGGGAUAUGCCUGGGAAACUGGGUCUAAUACCGGAUAGUGUGGGAUGGGCUCGCGGCCUAUCAGCUUGUUGGUGGGGUAAGGGCCUACCAAGGCGGCGACGGGUAGCCGGCCUGGGAGGGUGGACAGCCACAUUGGGACUGAGACACGGCCCAGACUGCUACGGGAGGCAGCAGGGGGGAAUAGUGUACAAUGGGCGGAAGCCUGAUGCAGAGACGCCGGGUGGGGGAUGACGGCCUUCGGGGUGUAAACUCCUUUAACCAUCGACGCGGUAGAUGGAGAAGAAGCACCGGCUAACUACGUGCCAGCAGCCGCGGUAAUUC
rnacentral:rRNA from 1 species